AUACUUACCUGGCGUAAGAAUACCGUGAUCAUUCAGCCGGUCCCUCAGGGUGAGGCUGUUUCAUUGCACAGCGGAGUGAUUGACCCUUGCGACUAUUUUUAUUUUUUAUAAGUUUCACUUCUACCGUGUGUGACUUGCACACACACACACACACA
rnacentral:snRNA from 9 species